CUCCUGUCCUCCCUGGCAGGCAGGCAGACAACCCAGAAUCCUGCAGGAAAUAGAACCUGCACCCCCAGGCGCUGCCUCGUUUCUCCAGAAGUCUGUGGCACGUGGGGCCAGACUCAACAGCAGCGCCUGAGGCAGGCGACGGAGGAAAGAAGGACAGAGCACUUUGGGCCAACAUCUCCCAGAGGUGAAGCUCGAGCCUUGGAGUUGGGCUGGGAUUGCAGCCCUUUGCUGAUUUCCUAGGCAGAGGGAGAUGGAGAAAGGGCAGCUCUAGAGAGAGCAGACCUAGGAUCCCAGCCCAGCUCACCCAGGGCUCCCUGGACUCUGCUGCCUUUAGCACCGCAGAAGCUGACAGAGCAGUUCAAGGUCAAAAGCUAAACUUCAGCGGGGCCAGCCGGCCAAGCACCGGGAGUCAGGCUGAGUCUCAGGCCAGUCCCACCCUGGACUGAUGGACUCAGAGCCGCGCAUGUGCACAGCCAGUGUUCACUCGGGUGGGACUCCAAUCCCAGCAACACCACUCCUUGGCUGUGUGACUCCAGGCGGCACGAUGCGCGUGGUGGUGAUCGGCGCCGGGGUCAUCGGACUCUCCACCGCCCUCUGCAUCCACCAGCGCUACCACUCGGACCUGCAGCCGCUGGACAUGAAGGUCUACGCGGACCGCUUCACCCCGCACACCACCACCGACGUGGCUGCCGGGCUCAUCCAGCCCUACGUCUCCCCACCCGACGACCCUCGGGAAAUGGACUGGAACCAGCAGACCUUUGACUACCUACUGAGUCAAAUCCAUUCUCCCACUGCUGACAAAAUGGGCCUGGCCUUAAUCUCGGGCUACAACCUCUUCCGUGAAGCUGUUCCGGACCCUGUCUGGAAAGACUUAGUUCUGGGAUUUCGGAAGCUGACCCCCAGAGAGCUGGACAUGUUCCCUGAUUAUGGCUAUGGCUGGUUCAACACCAGCCUGAUCCUGGAUGGCAAGACCUACCUCAAGUGGCUGACGGAAAGGCUGACUGAGAGGGGCGUGCAGUUCUUCCUGCGGAAGGUGGCGUCUUUGGAGGAGGUGGCAAGAGGAGGCGUGGAUGUGAUCAUCAACUGCACCGGGGUGUGGGCUGGGGGGCUGCAGCCAGACCCCCUGCUGCAGCCAGGCCGGGGACAGGUCAUUCGGGUGGAAGCCCCGUGGAUGAAGCACUUCAUUAUCACCCAUGACCCAGAGAGAGGCAUCUACAAGACCCCGUACAUCAUCCCAGGGAGCCAGACGGUCACUCUGGGCGGCAUCUUCCAGCUGGGGAACUGGACGGAGCUGAUCGAUACCCAGGACCACGACACCAUUUGGGAAGGCUGCUGCAGACUGGAGCCCACGCUGAAGAAUGCGAGACUCGUCGGUGUGGGUGCUGGCUUCCGGCCUGCGCGCCCCCAGAUCCGGCUAGAGAGGGACCGGCUCCCUGGGGGACCUGCAGACACAGAGGUGGGGUGGCGCACACCUGUAAUCCCAACAGCUCAGGAAGCUGAGGCAGGAGGAUCAUGAGUUCAAAGUCAGCCUCGACAACUUAGCAAGGCCCGAAGCAACUCAGUGAAACCCUGUCUCUAAAUAAAAUAUGAAAAAGGGCUGGGAUGUGGCUCAGUGGAUAAGCUCCCCUCAGUUCAAUCUCUCUCUCUCUCUCACAUACACACACACACACACACACACACAAUCUACACUCCUUUCAAAGCUGACCCCUAGAUACUCUUUCAUGUCACUGCCAGCAACACCAAGGUCAUUUAUGUACCCUUGAGAAUGCUUGAAAUAAGAAUCAAAGACCCUGGCUAUGUUGAACAUUUUCUGACAUUUUCUGGAAUCCUUUCUAAAGUGGAGAGAAACAAAUGACAUUUCCAUUAAUGGAAAUAGGAGCUUUUGAGAGAAUUGUUUAAAAUUAGAUACAAACAUCUUUAGCUUCAGGCCCUAUGUAUUUCAGAGACUUAUGACUACUGUGACAUUUCUUAUAUCAUUCAAUAACAUUGAUUUGUUUUUAAAGGGCAAGCCAAUUAGAAGGUAAAGAAUUUUAAACUUUCUUUCUCUCAAGUAGAAAACUGAUUCCUUCAACAUAGUCCCUAGAAAAUAUUUCCUGCCUACCAAAUACUCCUUCCCAGUCCCCAAUUUACUGGAUUAUUUGAGGGUGAAGAAGCAGAUGUGUUCCACUGGCAGUAUCUGAGCAUCUGGGGGGCAAAAAGCAAAAAAAGAAAACAAAACCAGAGGCUCAGGAGGCUAAGGCAGGAGGAUCACGAGUUCAAGCCAGCCUCAGCAAAAGCGUGGCCCUCAGCAACUCAGUGAGACCCUGUCUCUAAAUAAAAUACAAAAUAGGGCUGGGAUGUGGCUCAGUGAUUGAGUGCCCCUGAGUUCAAUCCCUGGUACCCACACCCCACCCCUGAAAAAAAAAUAAAAUAAAAAGAAAGAUUGUAUUAUCUGGGAGAACUCAGAUGUCCAGAAAUCACUAGAGCUCUAGCUACUUGGAGUUCAAGAAAAUGUGGAUGUCAGAAAGAGAGAGAGAGAUAACGAUAGAUCUGCCAAGCUGUGUGCUGUCGGACAGCCUGGACUGGGGGGGAUUGUAGCCUGUUUCCAAGGACCGGGGAGUGUUUGCAGCUGACCUAGGACUUGAGCCUGAAGAAAGCAUCCAUCAUGGCCUCCACAUCCUUAGAACCAAGGGUCAUGCCCAACACACUCCAAGCCCGAUGGUGCAGGUCAAUUGUGCAACUUCCCCCUCUUUUUGGAAGAGUUCAUCCUAUCAAAACACUGAGAUUUCCUCGGAUGGACAGAGUUCCCAAGACUGUCAAACUGAACGGCCACUGGGACACUAUGACAAAUGAGCAGGCUGAGACCUCCGCCAUGUCCGUCACCGACAUGUUUUAAUAGGAGAUGAACGCACACAUUGGGCUCCCUUGACAUCGAGCAACGGGUGGGUCCUCUCUGGCAGCCUCCUUCCUCCCUCCGUAGGUCCUCCGCCUUCUCCGUGGGGAAAAGGCUCCUGUCGACCAAUCCUGGGAGGGAUGCAGCCGGCUUCCUCUGAAGGCCAACACCAAGCCCCCAAUGGCCUCCUUCCUCCUCCUCUGAAAAUGCUCACUCUUCCCACAUCCGGGCCUUCCUGCUCUUCCCCCUCCAGGAUCCCCACGGGCGGUGCCACAGGUGGGAGCCCAGGAGCUCACUGUGUGGUCUGGACCAGCACAGCCCUCAACAGGGGGUGCCCACAAACAGGAAGGAAGGAGCAUGUGCGCGUCAGGGAUUCCUGCUCCCCUGACCCCGACCCAGGCACGUCCUUUUGGUUCCUCUGCCCACUCAGCCCUCUACCUAGGUGCAAAAUCCAACCUUGAAACCUGAGUGAGCCACUUCCUCUCCCCAGGAGGCACCACUCAGGCUGGCCCAGGAGGAGACCUGGACAGAACGCCUGAGUGUGGCCUUUGCUGCUGCUACAGGGGUGACUCCUGUUUGGGCUGCGAGCUUGAAUUUCUCCUCCUUUGCGCCUCAGCCCCCAAUUUCUGGGCUGGGAGUGGGAUCACAGCUUUCUGAGUUUGCCAUCGUGUGCAAACCUUGCUCUUCCCAGGGACACGUCCGGAUGCCCUGGAGCCAGAGACACAAUUCCAGAGGUAGCCACGUGGGGACACCGGGCUCAGGUUCCAAUGCAGGUGCACCAGCCAGUCUCCACUGGGCAGACCCCAGGGAGUCAGGGGGACCCCUGCUGACGGGCAAGAGAGCAUUUCCCCAGUCUAAGAACAAGCCGCUCAGGCCACACACCUAGGUCACCUGUCAUCUCAAAGAAGAAAGCCUGGGGCCGGGGGGUGUAGGAGAUACCUACUCAACAGGUCCAGUUGGUGGAUGGCAAGUGUCACAGGGGUCUGGGCCUGGACAGUAUUUACAGAGAUCUUUUGGUGGUGGUUCACUGAAGGUGUGACAGGGUGACUCUGGGUGGCAUUUGCUUGGCUGCCAGGACCCCCAGACUCACCUACAAGUGGCAGUUUUCCCAUGCAGACCCACAGGUCGUUAGUAAGCCUUCCCCUACACAGAGAACCCCUAGAGCAGAGCCUCCCCAUCCCGGGCGGCCUCAGUGAACACGGCAAACGGAGUCAAGACACAAAACCCUGUUAGUCCAGCCCGUCUUCUCGGGUGAGUUCCCGACGUCGGCAGUGACCACGAGCUGCCCGGCUGGGCCCCGCCAGCUCUCCCGGCUCUGCGGCCUCCAAGACACCAGCUCAGCUUCCCCAGCGGUCACUAUUCCUGAGAGCCAGAGUUCGACCUGGCCACACCUGCACCGUGUGUCCCUCUGCCAACCAUCUCCUGGCCCCACUCCCGGUGGCUAGACUCCUGGAGUCCUCGGCCUUUGGUCUCGAUGGGCAGAAAACAGGAAGCCACGGCGGCCAGGAGGCAGCAGCCACUGUACACUGCCAGCGUCAGGUACACGGAGGACUCCAGCAUCACCUGGGGAGGGAGACGCAGGUGGGUGAGAACAUCCCCUCUGGCUGGCCAUGGUGGCCCACGCCUGUCAUCCCAGUGGCUCGGGAGGCUGAGUCAGGAGGAUCCUGAGUUAAAGCCAGCCUCAGAAACUUAGUAAGGCCCUAAGCAACCUAGUGAGACUCUGUCUCUAAAUAAAAUAUCCAAAAGUCUGGGGGGAUGUGGCUCCGUGGUUAAGCACCCUAGGGUUCAAUAGAAAGGAAGGAUGGAAGGAAAGAAGGAAAGGAUGGAGGGAGGAAGGAAUCGUCACAGGAACUCUAUAAAACAGCCCUGUGAGCGGAGCACUUUACCCCCAUUUUACAGAGGAGAAAACUGAGGCUCAAAGAGGGUAAAGGCAUACCUAGGGUUAUACAGAUAAUAAGGAUGGGGCUGGGAUUUGAACUUGAGCACAUCAAGCCCAAGAGACUGGACUCCUCAUAAUUCUGCUCUGGCCUGUGCCAAGUUCCCAGCUUUACAACACACGGCAGGCCACGUGGCACGGCUGACUCCUGUUUCCUCAUCUGCGGAAUGGGCAAAAGGGCACUAUCACGUGAGUGAGAGGACAGCUGAGAGCACCUGCACUCUGCAGCCCCAUGGCAGGUUCACAGCCAACAUCAGCUAGGAGUGGUGUGCAGUGGCCAACCACAGCGCCAGAGAAAUACUUGGCUAACACAUGUGUUGGAAUUCCAUUUAUGUCAACCAUCCAGAAUAGGCAAAUCCACAGAGACAGAGGGCAGAAGGACAGUUGAUAAGGACUGGGGAAGGAGAGAAUGGAGGGAAUGGCUGUUUGAAGGGCAGAGGGCUGGGUGUGGUGGUGCCUGUCAAUAAUCCCAGCAACAUGGGAGGCUGGGGUAGGAGGAUUGCAAGUUUGAGGCCAGCCUCAGCAACUUAGCAAGGCCCUGAGCAAUUUAGCAAGACUCUGUCUCAGAAUAAAAAGAAAAUAAAAAGGGCUGGGGAUGUGGCCAGGUGGUUAAGUGUCCCCGUGUUCAAUCCCUGGUACCCCCCCCAAAAAAAUUAAUUUUAAUUACAGGACUUUUAUCUCAAUUAAAACAGAAAAAAAAUGUUGGAUAUUCAAAAAGCAAUAGACUUAGUGAGAUCCCCAAAGCUUAACAGAAAUGCUUAGAGGCACACAGAGUUGCGAAAUUGUGUAACUCUCCCUUAUAAUUCAGUUUUGAAAAGAGAGAUUAGGACAUUAGUUUCCCACGUUGAUCCAGUUAUUUUUCAUCCCCAAAUCUGGGGGGUGGUAGGUUUGUUGGCUUUGCUGGCCUCACACUCCUGGGCUCUGGCCACCCUCCUGCCUCACACCAGGGCACUGAUGCCGAGCUUAUCGAAAUUGCUUGGGGUCGAACCAUCUGGCACUUGAAGGGUCUCCUGCCCAGGGAGGACCUGAAUUCCACUGUGGCCCUGUCUAGGUCCCAGCUGUGUGACCUCGGCGACUCCUCUCCCCCUCUGCGCCUCUGUGUUCCCAUCUGCACGCGGGCGGGUGGCAGGCCCACUCUCGUGAAGCGAACGCCGAGGGCUCGGAGGGACAGCAGCUGCUCACUGUGCCCUGGGCUCUGGAGCCCCUCCCCUGCCCUCGGGUGACACCCACCUGAGCGAUGAAGGGCGUGAUGAGCGCGCCCACCCUGGCCAUGCCGCUGCAGGUGCCCAGGCCCAGCGCCCGCGUCGCCGUGGGGUAGACCUGGAACGGAACCAAACGUGGGCUCAGGAAGAUGCGCAAUUCCCUCCGUCCCCUGCAGCUCAGGACCGAAGUGAACACCCCCACGGGCAGGCCUGAAGUCCAGACACGUCCUCCAGGGUCCCACCUGCGACUUCUCCCGAGUUCCCCUUAAGGCUCUGACCAUGGGCUUUCAAGGAAUUUCACAAAGAGAGACGAGAGUGCUACACAGCUUCUGUUUACACCCCGGUGUGGCCACGUGCACAGCUGUCCCCUGGACCAAGAGAGGGGGACGUGCAUCUUUCAGGCCAAGAUCGUCAGAGGGGACAUGUCCUCUCCACUGGCUUCCUCUGUCUCCGGGAAGACUCCAGGACCCUGGGGCAGGCAGGUUCUCGACCUCAGCACCCUCGGGGGUUAGGAUGGGUCCUUCUCUGUCAUGGGGACCCUGCUGUGCAGGGAGCUCAGCAUCAUCUCUGGCCUCUGAUCCUGGCCCCAAGUUACAACAACCCCAUGCACCUCCAGAUGGUGCCAAGUAUCCCCUGGGGGACAAAGUCACUUGAUCACUGCAGGAUGGAAAGCUGCUCCCCAACCUAGAUCACCUAGAUACUGGACUGCUUCACAGAUGAGGAACUCUUUUCACAUCAACCGAUUCCAUGUUGGGGGUUAUUUGUUACAGUUUCGCUGGGCAGUGUGGGUCAGAUGGUCUUUGGCAUCCAUGCCAAAGAGCACAGAGCAGCCAUGGACAGAGGUCCCUUGCCUGAGGAUGGGUUAGAGCCCAAUAAAUCCCUUCCAAGUUAAAAACUCAACAAUGCACUUAAUACACCUAACCUUCCGAACACCACAGUGUGGGUGCUACUGAAUAGCACAGGGCUUUCACUCCGUCCUAAAGCUGAACAUUUAGAAAUCAGGAAUCAUCUGUGCGGCUGGGGGUGAAGCCCAGGGUAGACCGCUUGCCUAGCACACGCAAAGCCCUGGGCUCAAUCCCUGAUAACACACACACACACACACACACACACACAGGGUGAAUCAUCUGUACAUGAAAGGGUAUGAUGUGUCACAAUCAAACUUGAUUACUGAACACUGAGAUUUAAAUGUCAACUGUCUCCUUCCAUUAAAAAUCCCACCCAGUCUUAUGCCUGUAAUCCCAUCGGCUCAGGAGGCUGAGGCAGGAGGAUCAUGAGUUCUAAGCCAGCCUCAGCAAUUUAGCAAGACCCCAUUCUCAAAGUAAAAAUAAAAAGCCCUGGGGAUGUGGCUUAGUGGUUAAGUGCCCCUGGGUUCCAUCCCUGGUACUCCCCCACCAAAAAAAAAAAAAAAAUUCCACCCACCUCUCUCUUCACCAACCAGCUUUGGACAGUGACAGUCCCCCUGGGCACCUGCACCUCACUGUACACUCUGGGGCGUUGGUUCCCCUAGGCUCUGUGCCACACUCGUGUAACCAAUCCCUUUAUUAAACUCUUCUCAGUGA